AGCAGCCGCGGUAAUUCCAGCUCCAAUAGCGUAUAUUAAAGUUGUUGUAGUUAAAAAGCUCGUAGUUGAAUUUCGGAAUCGACGGAUUGGUCGCGCCUUCGGUGUGUACUGGUCUUGCCGGUUUCUCCCUUCUGACGAACCACGAUGUCAUUAAUUUGGUGUCGCGGGGAAUCAGGACUGUUACUUUGAAAAAAUUAGAGUGUUUAAAGCAGGCAUUAGCUUGAAUACAUUAGCAUGGAAUAAUGAAAUAGGACGUUUGAUCUUAUUUUGUUGGUUUCUAGGAUCGACGUAAUGAUUAAUAGGGAUAGUUGGGGGCAUUAGUAUUCAAUUGUCAGAGGUGAAAUUCUUGGAUUUAUUGAAGACUAACUACUGCGAAAGCAUUUGCCAAGGAUGUUUUCAUUAAUCAAGAACGAAAGUUAGGGGAUCGAAGACGAUCAGAUACCGUCGUAGUCUUAACCAUAAACUAUGCCGACUAGGGAUCGGAUGAUGUUAAUUUUUAAUGACUCAUUCGGCGCCUUAC
rnacentral:rRNA from 1 species